rnacentral:piRNA from 1 species
UUUGUCUGAGGAGAUAAACCAUGCGC